rnacentral:rRNA from 1 species
AGUCUUGACCAAUUCGAAAGAUCAUUUGGUGUAGUUGAAAUAACAUAAUUGGAACUUGUUUGGUCAGGAAACUCAAUCAAAUUCAUAACUGUCUCAAUAUAACCUUUUCCUUCUUUUUUUCUAAAUAUUCAGUUAAGACCAUUCCAAGGCUCCUUUUUGCCAUGCAUAAACUAA